rnacentral:rRNA from 1 species
GGAAGGUCCCCCACAUUGGAACUGAGACACGGUCCAAACUCCUACGGGAGGCAGCAGUGAGGAAUAUUGGUCAAUGGGCGAGAGCCUGAACCAGCCAAGUAGCGUGAAGGACGACUGCCCUAUGGGUUGUAAACUUCUUAUAUAGAGGAAUAAAGUCGGGUAUGCAUACCCGUUUGCAUGUACUUUAUGAAUAAGGAUCGGCU